rnacentral:misc_RNA from 1 species
AUUGGAAGAGGCUCUAAAGGCUACAGAGGCUUUGAAGCCUGGAAAUGCUGAUACCAAAUUGGAUUGGAAAACAAUUGAAGGUAUUGCAGCUGAUGUACCAUCUUGCUCCAUGAAUUAUGAACAGGUGUUAGACAUACCAAUUUUAGAUCUUUAUGUUUCCAGUGGUUUGCUUGAAAGCAAAUCAGCUGCACGACGAAUGCUUAAGCAAGGGGGACUUUACUUGAACAAUGCCAAAGUUGAUAGCGAG